rnacentral:rRNA from 1 species
GACGAACGCUGGCGGCGUGCUUAACACAUGCAAGUCGAACGGGAUCCGGGCUUUCGGGUUUGGUGAGAGUGGCGAACGGGUGAGUAACACGUGAGUAACCUGCCCCCUUCUUUGGGAUAACGUCGGGAAAUCGGCGCUAAUACUGGAUAUUCUUGCUGCAUCGCCUGGUGUGGUUUGGAAAGGGUUUCUUGUGGGGGAUGGGCUCGCGGCCUAUCAGCUUGUUGGUGGGGUGAUGGCCUACCAAGGCUUUGACGGGUAGCCGGCCUGAGAGGGUGUCCGGCCACACUGGGACUGAGACACGGCCCAGACUCCUACGGGAGGCAGCAGUGGGGAAUAUUGCACAAUGGGCGCAAGCCUGAUGCAGCGACGCCGCGUGAGGGAUGACGGCCUUCGGGUUGUAAACCCCUUUCAGUAUGGAACAAGGAUCCUUCUUUUGGGGGGUUUGAGGGUACGUGCAGAAGAAGCGCCGGCUAACUACGUG